rnacentral:misc_RNA from 1 species
UACUAUUUUCUUGCAAUUCCCUUAACUUUCAAUUCGGCUCUUGAGCUUCAACAGAAACCUCUCAUUGUCCUGUUCUGCAACUUUUACCAACCUAUCGACCAAAGCCUUCCUUUCAUGAAACCCAAGAGUGUGUACGUCUAUUUCGUUCGCACCUUUCGAUGUAGCUAAUAUGCCUUUUUUCAAACGAUCAUAGAUUGUUAGUCUCUCAAUAGCAGCCCAUUUGAGAGCUUCUUCAUCAUCUUCUUCUCGUGAAGAUUUGGAGAAACUUUCCAUGGCAUUGCUGCUCCAUAUAGAAGAGUCCCGUCUUCUUAAACUACCACCUGGUAUACAGAUUUCAGCACCCUCCAUUGUUAAAAACGAUCAGGAAUACUACUUCAAG